GCAGGAUGGCAAUCCUGGGAUCAGGAUCCAGAAUGAGUGGCUGUCAGACAGUAACAGCAUGCUGAAUGUCAGAGAGAAUUUGGAGGAGAGGCCAAAGCUUGUUGAUUUUGAUCUGGGCGGUGAAUCCAACGUGGUUCACAUUUAUGGAUGCAUGUUGUAAUUCUCGGCAAAAUGUUUGUGUUCUUAGGGAAGUCUCCUUAUCUUGUUUUAAAUUUAGAUUUGGGCUUUCAGAAAAUACAUGGCACUGGAGCAAGGAUGUCCCAAACCCAACGUGACUCUUCUGAUGACAUGACCCUGCUUCUUCCUGUGUUGUCUUCCCUUCUUGAAUGCGUCGAAUUGGAUGUGGCUGUCUUUUCCUCUGGCAUCGCCAAGAUCUAGCCUAUAAUCACAUUCAGUUUGCACAUGGCAGUACAACAUUCAAUUAAAGUCCUCAGCUUGCUGGAUCCAAACCCACCAGCUAGCACACAAAGCUGACAUAAUGGCCUACUCUGGAAAGCUGCUUUGUAAGAACAGCAAAUUACAGUUGUUAAACUGUCCACAGGAGGGCUCUGCUGAUGUUCCAAACACAGAAGGCAAAGCAUAAAGAAAGAGUUUGGGGGAAAAAGGAACUGAACCUUCACAGUUUAAACAACAUUUCAAUAAAUUACAGGAUUCUCUGAAGUGCCACAUCUGAUACAAAGUAGACUUCAGCUCUGUGUUGCUGUAAGCAUUUGUAGCAGCACACAAAAGAUGGAUGGACACAAAAAGACCAAAGUGUUUUUCUGCACACUGAUAGUCUAAGGUACAUGGAUGAUUCCAACACAAAGGUCAGGGGCCUCAGUCUGGUGUUCCGAAUGUCUGACUGCUCCGUUCUGCUUUGGCUUAAACCAUCUAGCCCUGGAGGAAAGUUAUCCAGCAGUCCGGCAUGGAGAGAGGAGUCAGGUUCAGAGCAAACGGCCAGUGCAUCCCUCACUGGGGGGAACAGAGCAGUGACAGUGGAGGGCACAUGUUCCCGAGGAGCAGUGAUCUAAGUCACUCCGGCAGCUGGUGAGACAGUAGCGGACUCAGAACAUUUCAGUCAGGCUGAGUUCCACAGUUCUGAGUUCGAGCUCGGCUUUCACCAGACUUUCGCCAAUUCUGCAAUGUCCCUCCUUGUGCUGCGAGGUGAAAAUCCCCAAAGUGAGGCAGCUCAGCUCCUGUUCACUGGACCCAGGCUCCGCCCUGCUGCCUCCCGCACCAUCCCAGCCUCCCCGGGCAACAAACAGCAUCAUCUGCCUGGAUCCCUGUGCACCCAGCCCUGCGAAGCUUCGCAGCACCCUUGUAAGCCCUGCCAAACCCAAAGCUGCUUCCCCAUCCCAUUGUCGCCAUUGCCACCCAGGGCGUCUUUUCCCUGCAUCCGUGUGACGUUCUUCUUAAAUGGCAGGUCCUCCUGCAGCCCUGCAGCCACAAUGGGACAGCUGCAGGGGCCAGGACCACCAACCCACAGGGAUGCUUCCCCACAACCAGCCCUGUUUCAUCCUCUGUCGUCAGCUUCCUCCAGGAAGCCCUCCCUGGUGUCCCAAGAGGAUGCUGCAGUCCAUCAGAGGGCAUGCAGGGCUAGCCGUCCACGUUGCCCCCAGGGCAGGGUCUGCCAUUGAUCCCCAUCACCGGCGCCUUCUAGGCUCCAAGCCCCAGACCCACAGGGACCCUUGUCACCAUUUCCCUUUGCGUCCUGGUGAACACGGUAGGCAGCAUAAGGUGUCCUUUGUCACUGCAUUGGGAGCGGGAGCCUGGGAGCCCUGGGGAGCAGGAGGCUGUGUAGAAUACUGGGGAGUUCGCAGACUCACAGCACGAUGCCCAAAAGGUCACUGCCCUCGGAGGGGCGGUGCCUGCACAGCAAGGCCCUACACGCACCAGCUGCACCCAGCAAAGAGCUCGGCCACCUGUGUCGCCUGCCUCCCAGGGAGUGUCACCCACACGGGGCUCCUGAAUCUGACGUGGGGAGGGUCAGACUAACCCAGACAUGAGGCGGUCAGCGGGACAGCUGGUCUGGCUCUCUAAGGGGUCAGUAAUAUGAGAACCAAAAGGCCAGGUGGCCAUUGUACCUGAGAAAUAGGCAGGAAGAGUCCCAGGUGUGGUGGUGCUCCUAAAAUCCCAGCACUGGGAGGCUGAUGCAGGAGGAUCAUGAGUUCAAGCCCAGCCUGAACAACAAGGUCUUAGUGAGACCCUGUCUCUGAAAAAUACAUAAAGCUGGGGAUGUAGCUCAAUGUGGAGGUGCUUGUUUCAAACCCCAAUACCCAAGAGAGAGUUUUGUGCUUUUAUCUAUUUGUUUCUUCUUUGUAACAGAGGGUCCUUUUUUGUCCAUGACUUGUAUGCUCAGAAACAUUUAGGCCAUUCUUUAAGUACAUGGUCUAUUAUCUACUGUGAUUCUCUGAUUAUUUUAUUAUGAAAUUUUGGUGUUUAUAUAGAAGAAUGAAGAAUGAUUUUUUAGUAUUUUCUUUAUAAAUAUUUACUUGCAUUACAUUAAAAGAAAAGAAAAGAAAGAGAAUCAAGAAAAAUAGCAGCCAAAUAGAAAGCCAGGUUUUUAAGAAUGCUCCAAAGUAUAUAUGAGAGGCAACUAGGAAAUUGGGCAUAGACUGUUAGAUGAUUUUAUGGAACUAUUGUUAGAAUACUUAGGUGUGUGUAAGAAAUGUAUGGGGAUUGCUUGUGGAUGAGAUUUACUAUUAAAUCAUUCACUAAUAAAUAUAUUCUGUGUGUGUUGUCAUGUGUGAACACAUAUGCAACAAAA